rnacentral:tRNA from 1 species
AAGUUUAGGUUAAACAAACCAAGAGCCUUCAAAGCCCUAAACAAGAGGCCCGCCCUCCUAAC